rnacentral:rRNA from 1 species
GGUGGAAAGCGUGGGAGCAAACAGGAUUAGAUACCCUGGUAGUCCACGCCGUAAACGAUGUCGACUUGGAGGUUGUUCCCUUUGAGGAGUGGCUUCCGGAGUAACGCGUUAAGUCGACCGCCUGGGGAGUACGGCCGCAAGGUUAAAACUCAAAUGAAUUGACGGGGGCCCGCACAAGCGGUGGAGCAUGUGGUUUAAUUCGAUGCAACGCGAAGAACCUUACCUACUCUUGACAUCCAGAGAACUUAGCAGAGAUGCUUUGGUGCCUUCGGGAACUGUGAGACAGGUGCUGCAUGGCUGUCGUCAGCUCGUGUUGUGAAAUGUUGGGUUAAGUCCCGCAACGAGCGCAACCCUUAUCCUUUGUUGCCAGCGGUUCGGCCGGGAACUCAAAGGAGACUGCCAGUGAUAAACUGGAGGAAGGUGGGGAUGACGUCAAGUCAUCAUGGCCCUUACGAGUAGGGCUACACACGUGCUACAAUGGCGCAUACAAAGAGAAGCGACCUCGCGAGAGCAAGCGGACCUCAUAAAGUGCGUCGUAGUCCGGAUUGGAGUCUGCAAACUCGACUCCAUGAAGUCGGAAUCGCUAGUAA